GAUAGUCAAGGUAUGUAAUUUAAUUUACAAUGACACGUGGGCCCCCAAAUGACAAAAGUGAACGAAGGCUGUGAACCUACGAUUUUUUAGGAAGUAAAGCCAACUGUAGCCUUCGACGAUAUCAGCUAUCUACAAACUAUCCCGAGCCUAAAAUGGGUGAAAAGGAGGGUGAUGAGAUUAUAUAAUCCCAAUGAGUAAACAAAUAUCAUCUAAAAUAUCUAAAGCCGAGUAAAUGGAGACGAUUAAAAUAGAUCAUCAUAAAAUGGUUCAUAACAUCAAAACACAUUUCAAAUCAUCUAAGCUAGUUACAUUUCAUCCAAAAUAUACAACGAGGCUUAUGAAUCUCUUAAAAACUUGGCUCGUGCCAAAACUCAUUCUCGGGGAUACCUUGGUCAAGGUAUUUAACCGAGUCCGCCAAAGUUGUUAAAAAGUCAUAUACACGCAAAACAAAUUUUUACAUUUAAAAACACAGUCGUUUCUUGACGUUGGCUGAAUUCACCUUCACGUGGUGGUUCAGCGUGAAGUGAACUCUAAACUUUACCCCAGGAGAUACCCUACGCGCCUCUCCGACAGAGGCAAAAAUAUAAUCGGAUUUCGUGCACUUCUAAUAGGCUGGCCCACAGAACUCGCCACUGUAGUGACCAAUCUAUAACCCACCAAUUAAAUAAAAAUUCAACAGCAUGACAUGGCAAUUUUAUCAUUAUCCAGCCUAUCAAGGCAAACAACAUUUUUUACAUUUUCAACAUAAAUACCCAUCCAGCCAUUCAUUCCCACAUUAUCAUAAGCCAUUCAAUUCAAAACAUAAUUUACAAUAUAGCAAGUAGUCUCCAAUUACUCCAUUUUCCAAGUCAUCAUUCAAUUUCAAGACAAUUUAUAAAAUCAUUUCAUUUAAUCACAUUUUGCUUAUAAAACAUAAAGAUUUACCAUUUAAACUUAUUUUUCAUAAAAUCACAAAAUCGAAUUAAAAUUCACUUUAGAUAAUCAAGAUGAUGAUAAGCUUACUCACAAUAUUAGGAGUCGAAGUACUCCUAGUCCAGGUCUUCGGGUACAACUUCUUUGCCCUUACCGGAGGAUUCACCACCUAGACAUAAUGCAUAAUCAAGCAAUUUACCACAUUGGUGCUAAAUCGUUAUAAAACUAAUCUAGGCUCUAUUGAAUGCAUGAAAUGAAAUGCGAAUUGUUCGGAUCAUUGUCUAAACACAGUGUUCUACAUAAAUUCAAUUGUGUACCUAAAUAAAACGGUAUUGGCCUAAUUCGAUCUAUCACCCGGUUAAUUGGCUAAUAUGUCCAAUUUAACUCCAAAUAACUCCAUUUCCUUCCCAAUACUCUAAAUCAUUAAACACAAUUUAAAUAACUUGAAAUGUGACAAAAUCAUCUUCACAUUUCUUCUUGGGAAUUUCAGCCAUGGUGGGUGCAUGAACACUAUGAUUUUUUCGACUUGAUUUUUACACCAUAAAUCAUUAAUUUCUAACCAAAUCACUUGAAAUAAAAUCAAGUCCACCAUCAACACACCAUAGGGAAAAUUCGGCCAAUGGUGGGUGAUAGAAGAAAAUGAAUUUUUCUUGUUUGCUUUUCAUGCUACACAUCACUAACUAACUAAAAACACUAGAAUAUAUUGAAAUCUAACCAAAUUAACCAUCAAAACCUCUCUCUAUAUUUUCGGUCAGCAAGAGAUCCAUCAUAUAAUCAUGAAUUUCAAACAUGAAAAUAAGAAAGAAUGCUUAGGAAAGAUAGAUCUCAAGUUAGAAUUGAAAAAUCUUACCUUUUGUCACUUGAUUCUUUGAAAUUUUGUGAAUUUCUCUUGAAUUUCUUAGCUAGGGUUUUGUUCUUCUUCUUUUCUUCCCUUUUCUUCCUUUGGCCGGCCAAG
rnacentral:lncRNA from 1 species